GGGCCUCCGGGCUGAAGCCGGCAGCUGGGGGCUGUCCGUCCGCCGGUCGGAGAUCAGACCUCGCCCCGGGGCCGGGCGCGCUCGGGGGACGCGGCCGCAACUUCUGCGGCCUUGGAGAGACACACAGCUUGGGUGCUUACGAACCAUACAUCAUUGUCAAGCGAGAAGAUUAAACUUAUUGUUUCUUUCUUGAACCGGCAAGUCAAGGUAUGUGAGUCCGAGAUAGAUGACUCGGAACCGACACUUCUGCGGGCAGCAGGGCUUGCUGUCAGGGGAGGCGCAGGUCCGCUGAUCAAGGCUGUCUGCACUGAGCUGUGAAGCGGCUUCUGCAAACUCAAGCAUGCACAGACGCCGUGCCUGGCUCUCGGAGUUCGGAUCCCGGUGUCGCUUUGAUCCCCACAGCCUAAAGACUAACAGUCAGAAAGGUGCAUCCUUUGCGCCAAACUUGAGUGGAUUUCUUUUUUCAGCGAGCACUCAGCUAACUUUCUGAUUUUUUUUUUUUUUUUUUUUUUUGUCCCCACCCUGCAUGUCAUUCUGUGUCUUGGCAGCCAGGAAAAUGUAAAUGAGAUUUUUUUUUUUUAACAAGGCAGGCCCUCAGAGGUGACCCCUCACGGAUCUAAGCGGCAGAGUUGCAGGCGUGGCUGGGGAAGAAUGCUCUGGGCCCUUGUGAUUCAUCACCACCCGCCGCCGUUUGGCUGGGGGGAGACAGACAAGCCUCUUAAUGAGCGGAGAUCAGUCUGCACGGGGAGACCUCUGAUAUGUGACACCAGGCGCCCACAAACCCAGCCCCGCCCCGCCCGCUCCCCCGAAAAUAGACAAAUAAAUCCGGCGGGCACCCAGCUCAAAGGCAGCUCGGUGGCCACCGCGCCUGGCACUGAACGAUCAUCGCCGCCCCGGGCUCUUUGAAGCUGUUUAAAUUCUUCCCGAACACGGGCGUCCCCUGCCCGCCGUCCCCA